GAUCUUUGGCGAUCACUGCCUCUCUGGGCCUGUGUCUUAGGCUCUGCAAGAUCAACCGAGCAAAGCACACGGCCUGCAGAGAGGCAGCGCUCUGCCC
rnacentral:pre_miRNA from 8 species